GUCGAACGAUGGAUCCACUGUCGGUGGGGAUUAGUGGCGAACGGGUGAGUAACACGUGGGCAAUCUGCCCUGCACUCUGGGACAAGCCCUGGAAACGGGGUCUAAUACCGGAUACUGAACCUNNCAGGCAUCUGUGAGGGUCGAAAGCUCCGGCGGUGCAGGAUGAGCCCGCGGCCUAUCAGCUAGUUGGUGAGGUAAUGGCUCACCAAGGCGACGACGGGUAGCCGGCCUGAGAGGGCGACCGGCCACACUGGGACUGAGACACGGCCCAGACUCCUACGGGAGGCAGCAGUGGGGAAUAUUGCACAAUGGGCGAAAGCCUGAUGCAGCGACGCCGCGUGAGGGAUGACGGCCUUCGGGUUGUAAACCUCUUUCAGCAGGGAAGAAGCGAAAGUGACGGUACCUGCAGAAGAAGCGCCGGCUAACUACGUGCCAGCAGCCGCGGUAAUACGUAGGGCGCAAGCGUUGUCCGGAAUUAUUGGGCGUAAAGAGCUCGUAGGCGGCUUGUCACGUCGGUUGUGAAAGCCCGGGGCUUAACCCCGGGUCUGCAGUCGAUACGGGCAGGCUAGAGUUCGGUAGGGGAGAUCGGAAUUCCUGGUGUAGCGGUGAAAUGCGCAGAUAUCAGGAGGAACACCGGUGGCGAAGGCGGAUCUCUGGGCCGAUACUGACGCUGAGGAGCGAAAGCGUGGGGAGCGAACAGGAUUA
rnacentral:rRNA from 1 species